GGCCGUAUUUAAACACAGGUUCUCGUGGGAUAACCGUAGAUAAGCCACGUCGAGCUUAGUCAGUAUCUCGAUGGGUGUUCUCUUGGGAAUACCAUGUGCUGUAAG